rnacentral:tRNA from 1 species
GGCUCGUUGGUCUAGGGGUAUGAUUCUCGCUUCGGGUGCGAGAGGCCUCGGGUUCAAAUCCCGGACGAGCCC